UCUAAGCAGUUGGUCUAUUUCACCAGGAGAGGUAGUUGUAUUUUCACCAACUUAUUGUGAUCACCAAAUCAUUCAAGGGAAACUGGAAAAGUGCACAAAGAGAAUACAAAGAUAGUUUGCUAACUGAACUGUCAGUAGAAGCCCAGCAACCUUCAGGAAGAGUCAUUCUUCUUGUGGGUGAGUUCUGGGAAACAGCCCACAAAACUUCUGCAAACGGGAUGAACAGUGCAGAUUUUGACAGUGCUGUCGAGGGGAUGCAGCGGGGAGAGUUGAUUUCCACUCUCCAGGAUAUGAUAACUGAUACGUUGAGGGACACAUUCAACUCUGUACUGCUUCUUCCUCCUCCUCCUCUUCCUCUUCCUCCUCCUCCCCGGCCUCCUGGGCAAAGAUCUGAUACCCACUUUCAACCAGCGGAGAGUCUUAUAGCAGGAUAUCGUGAGUGCAUCCCCCUGGGAGCAGCUCCACUCAGCUAUCAGCAACCGAGUCCAUUGAUGGCUGCUCCUGGACUGAAUGUUAAACAGCCUGCUCCCAUCAUUUACCAAGAACCACCACUGUAUAAUCAAAACAACAUGCAUAACCUGGAACAGUACCUGCCAAAUCAGUUUCCUGUGCAUUACACCCCAAUGGCAGCAUCACCUGUACAUUUUCCUGCUGCUCCUGCACACCCAGUAAGACCCUGAUUAACCACAAACACUCUGAAUCAUCCUCACUGUUUGGUUGUAGACACGUUGAAGAAGACAGCAGGUUUAUUAACCUUGCUGUGGGAGAGUGAUAUCAAUGCUGGAACA